GCCCCACGGGCCCCGGCGCUCCCCGCGGUCCGGGCACUCCGGCCAUGAUGGUGUCGAUGACGGUGGAGGCCAGCUGGGCUUCUCCAUCUGCGGACACAGCGCGGGAUCACGGCUGCUGUGGAAGAGGUUCUACAGCGACUUCUUGAGCCAGAGGGGAGUUUGAUAAGAGGAUCCGUGUUUGCCCCUGGAAGAAUUUUCUACCAAGGUCGUUGACACAGAAACCAAGAAAGAAAGAAGGAUAAAUAAGAGAAACCUGCAACUGCCUGUUCCAAUAAGCACUUUGCUUGUCUCUCGUGACCAGUGAGUAAACUGUAAACUUAAGAGCUGUAUAAGAAUGUAUAAAAAGCAUGCAUGCUAGAAUAAAAACAGAUUUGAAGCCUUCUGAAAA